rnacentral:lncRNA from 1 species
ACACCAUGAGACCUGCUAUUACACAGGCACAAAUUCCUUGGGGGCACAGACUAAGAGGUUUUUCUUGGCCAGGGUAAACAGAGAAGGCUUUAUUUGACUGGACCUCGGAGAUGGAGAAGAUUUAAAGACACGGGAAUGGAAGAGAAGAGCCAUUUCAGUUAGAGACAACAGUGAGAACACAUAGCUGGUGCCAGGGAAGGAAAUGCCUGUCAGUGUCAGGGCAGGCACUGGCAGGGGACUGGAGUGGGGUGAGAUUGGGUUGAUGGGGGAGGCUGAGUCAGAGCAUGGAGAGCCUUUUAGGAAUCUGAGCUCCCCUUCAUGGGCAGCGGGAAUCCUUUGGAGGAUCCUGAGCUGAUUACUGGAAGGGCCAGUGGAUAGUAAAGUCAGAUUCCCAGAGGGUAAGGCAAGGCUGCGCUGAUCACACACCGGCAUGCACAGGUGUGCCGGAGGGGAUGAGGAAGGACAAAUUAGUGACGUGAUGACAGUUGCACUCAGGCACUCCAUCUUAUAUGGACCAUCCGUAACUCUAAUUCCCCUCUUGCUUCCUUUCCCGCACUCUUUCCUCCUCCGUCUCCUUUGAGCUCUCCACAACCUCAGUCAAAACAUUCUGCCC